rnacentral:rRNA from 1 species
CCUACGGGAGGCAGCAGUGAGGAAUAUUGGUCAAUGGACGAGAGUCUGAACCAGCCAAGUAGCGUGAAGGAUGACUGCCCUAUGGGUUGUAACCUUCUUUUAUAAAGGAAUAAAACGAGGCACGUGUGCCUUUUUGCAUGUACUUUAUGAAUAAGGAUCGGCUAACUCCGUGCCAGCAGCCGCGGUAAUACGGAGGAUCCGAUCGUUAUCCGGAUUUAUUGGGGUUAAAGGGAGCGUAGAUGGGUUGUUAAGUCAGUUGUGAAAGUUUGCGGCUCAACCGUAAAAUUGCAAUUGAUACUGGCAGUCUUGAGUACAGUUGAGGUAGGCGGAAUUCGUGGUGUAGCGGUGAAAUGCGUAGAUAUCACGAAGAACCCCGAUUGCGAAGGCAGCUUACUAAGCUGUGACUGACAUUGAUGCUCGAAAGUGUGGGUAUCAAACAGGAUUAGAUACCCCAGUAGUC